ensembl:snoRNA small nucleolar RNA, C/D box 65C
AAAUGAUGAGAUCACCCAAAAUAGCUGGAAAUACCAGCAGAUUGGUAGUGUUAAAUCUACAGUUUUCUGAAG